rnacentral:tRNA from 1 species
ACCUGGCUGGCUCAGUUGGUAGAGCAUGCAUCUCUUGAUCUCAAGGUUGUGAGUUCCAGCCCCAUGUUGGGUG